CUAAUUAAUAAAUGAGAUCGUAUUUUAAUCUCGUUCGCAAGGAAAGAAUAAAACUUGGGCUUGAGCAACCCAUCUUUAGGCCUAAUUUUUGGACCUAAUCUAUAAUUACCAAGCCCAUAUUUUCUAGGUCCAUACCCUAACCUAAUCCCUACCCCUAUAUAAUAGUAUCUAACACCUAAUACCAAAAGGAAUCCGCCGUUUUCCAUCAGCUCUAAGGAGCUCCCCAUAACCCCAUUCUGCAAAAAGAACAACAAAAGUAAUCAUGACUUCUUCAUUUUUCAUUUCUCAAAAAAAAAAAAAACACCACAGAACCCCUUCUUUUGAAGAAACUCUAGCCUUCUUCCUCCUCACCCCUCACUCACGCCAUUUCCACAAAAAGACCAUGAUUUUCGAAAUUCAAAAAUCCCAGAUUUGGGAAUUCAAAAGCUAAAGCUAGCGAAAAAAAAGAAAGGAGACCGAUGGAAUUGCUGUUCGCUACUGCUCUGUUGUCCCUGUCCUAUUGAUUCACAUGUUCAGCCUUUAUCUGAUUAUUUUGGGAUAUUUACUUGGCUGUUGAGGUACUUCCUUAGCCCAUGAAUAAUGAGUGAUUGUUGAACAUGUGAAUCGGGUGGAAUACUAAUUGAACGCAGGUUGCAUUUGAACUUAGCUUCCCCUGUUCCUCCUACUACUUUAAUCUUCUGUAGUAGAUAUGUAGUUUUAGAUGUUAUCUAAGCUAUCACUUGCACAUUUGAUGCUGUGUAUGUAUGAUUAAUUGGACAAUGUGUGCCAUGGGAUCACUGUAAUAGAUUGUCAAUUAUACCAUAAUCAAUAGUGUAAUAGUAUGUCGUUUCACCUGCGGAAUUGUUCUCUUAAAACCAGUUUGUGAUUGAUUGUUGAACUUACAUAAGUUAGUUUGUUCUA